GCACUGCUUCGUUCUUACUCUCUUUUACAUUUUUUUCUGAAAAAAUAGAGAGUCGAAGUUCCUGAUCUGGGCGUUCUAACCAGAGAAGGAGUUUCAUCCCGGUCGCACUCUAACGGCUGCGAUGCAGCUCAGCUCUGUGCUGGUGGCAGCAGCACACGCAGAUGUGAGCACAGCUGUACGGAGAAAGGAAAUGAACCCGACGUUUGUUACGGAGUAGGGAGUCGGUGGGAAGAGCCGCAGGCGCUGUGCCCCGGGAGCAGCCCCGCCGCACGCAGCCGCCCGCCCCAGCGGGUGAUGCGGGGCUGCGGGACCUUGUGGAGCGUGCGGAAACACCGACCUCAGAGCACUGCGGGAAUUACAGCCUGCAGGAGGCUCGUCGUCUCGAUGUAGCUUCUGGCAUCGCUAGCCUGUCCCAAAGAGGAAUUUACCUGAUUCCUGGUGACCAAACAACAAAAACAAGGCUAUGAGACAGCUGACGAAAAUGACAUGAAAUCUAUGAAGAAAUAUGAUGUUUAGAAGAUCUCGAGAGGUGCAUCCCACAGAGAAAAGACACAGUGAAUUUGAAUGGGGUUUGGGAGAUGCUGCUGGGUAAAGUCCAAGCGUGUUGUUUCUAAAGGUACAAGAGCCACAGCCAUCACUGGUGCCUUAGGAACUUGCAGAACUUCUCUCUGAGAGUAAACAUCCUGUCUUCCCCAUCCUGUUGCACUGAGCACAGUGGAGUGACAGUUCUACCAUCAGAAGCUGAGUGUGUGGAGUUCUCCCUGGGAUUCUCCCAGGCAGUGGAUUAGACAUCGCUCUCGCUUCCUACCUUGCACCUGCAGGGUAUGGGAAGCAAUUGCUCAUGGUGCUUCUGCAUCACAAUGACUGUGCUCCCAGAGUUGAGGGGGAACAUGUUGACGAUUUUGUCUGUACAUCCAUUGCAAUGAACCUCAUCAAUGCCCACUGUUGCCUUAAAACAAAAGUGUUUUAUCUUAUCGGUGAAGUUUUUUUUUUUUUAAUUCCUUAUGCAAACAUUCAAGGUCAGGAUUGAUGGGGCUCUGAGCAAUCCGAUUAGUUGAAGAUGUCCCUGCUAAUUGCAGAACUAGAAGACCUUUAAAGGUCCCUUCCAACCCAAACUGUUCUAUGAUAAAAAAUAAAUACAUGCAUACAGAA